GAGGCCAACGCAGCAGCUACCAAGUGGGCUUCCGUCUCUUCCACCUGAGAAGCCGUUUUAGCUCAACAGUAGCAAACAGCCACUCUACACCAGCGGCCACAGGUACAGCGAGAUCGCUGUUGACAGCCAUCGUACCUCAACCCCAGACGUAGCAGAAGGUUCAGAAGGAAUUUUAAAGCCUCUAUGUCCUGACUUGUUCCACCAUCCAGGAUGAUAGUGCUGCCCAAGUCUGUGAAUGUUUCUACAUUGGUGAGAAUAUAAUCCUCUGUGCAUACUCAUGAUGAAAUUGAAGAGCAGAAACAAACAUUAAGCUCCAGGAGAUCAAGACCUCCAAAAGGAAACCUCAUGCAACAGGAAUGAAAAGAACAACAUGGACAGCACUACAAACUUCAGUUCAUCCUAUGACCAUUCUCAUCUUAAUGAUCCAGUCAUUCAUUGUGGGACCAGUCUACCACUGCAAAGCCUUGUAAUGUUCUUCAGAAUGCCCUUUUUAUAUUGCCCAACUUUUGUCACUGUUGUUGGAAAGAUAGCAUGUUUUGAAAUAGCACUUCUCACUCUAUUGCAUAUUUAGUCAUAGCUGUUAAGAUCAGCUGUCAUUUCCUCCUAUUUAAAUUUUUCAGUACAGGUGUCAGCAUUUUAUUGGCACACUUGCCUUAGUCAUGAGUACUCAAAGCUGGGUACACAGCGUUGCACUCGAAAUAAUAUAGGGACUCAAAUUCAGGGGCCAUUUUUUUAAAUAUUGUCCUAAGUGACUUGCCCAAUGUCUCACAGGAAAUCUCUGGCAAAGACAAGAACAAUCCCUGUCCAGUGGUUUAACCACAAGAUUGUUCUUCCUCUUUGACAUGAACAGUUGCAUUAUGCAGAAAAAAACAGAAAACCAUUAAAUUCUAACCAUUAAAUUUAAUAACCUCAACUGACUUGUUUUAUUCAUUAGCUUUAGUAAGGCAUAACGAAGUGAAAGAUGUUUAGUAGUUCCAGUUUUUAUCUUUUACAAUGAAUUACUGGCAGAAUUGUUUGCUGUGUAGAAGAUAAAUAUUAGCUGUCUGGGCUUGGUUCUCCCCUCCCCAACCCUUUAGUCUUAUUAACAAAUAGUAAGUACUUUUGUGAGUCCUUAAUUUGUGGACAAGACCUACACCGAUGGAUAAGCAUUCUCCACUGCAGUUCCUUUGCCACAGAUACAAUCCAUCACACAUUAGUAAAUAAAAUGAGGUGCAGGUGGUCUAUACUUAAAAGUUUUAUCAGCAUUACUGUUUCAGUUAGGGAUAUAUUUUGUUUGCUGAUGCAAGUUCUAGUAUGGAUGCAGUGGUAUAAAGGUGACCUAUAGUUAUUCCCCUAUAGUUGGUUGGCAUUGCUAGGCCAACAGAGCUAAGAUUGAGUGAGCGUGAUUCUUUGCCUUCUUGUGCAUCACCAAUGGAAUUUUUUACUAAGCUGCAACCAGUUAUACCUGUGCAAACUCACUGAAGGCAAUGGGGCUUGCACAGUUGUCACUGAGGGCAUGAUUUUAAGACAAUGGAAUCACCCAAGUGUAACUGAGAGUCUAUCUCAGCUUUUAUUAGAUUUGAUGGCAUGCAAAAGGACUUUUAAAACCCAAGCUGUACUUUUAAAACCCAAGUCAGGUUGCAGGGCUCAUGACUACGGGAAAACAAACCAAAUUUUAUAUUAUAAACUGAAAACAGUUGUGUAGAGAUGAAAAACAAGGAACAAACAACAGUGAUUAUAGACAGUAACUUCUCAGAGCAGAGCUCACUUUAAGCCUACCUCCCAAGUGGCAAUCAGGGAGGCUAUUUGCCAUUUUGACAACAUCACAAUGCACUAAUCAGAUCUCUUCCCUCAGAUAAAUCCAGAUUUUCCCAGUAUCCUUCUCAAUCCCCAGCUUGCACUACCUGCAGGACCUUCUUCCCCAUCACUAGUUUCUCUCUCUGACCGUUGAGCUGUGAACCAGCAGGACAGAAGCACAGCACACAUACAAGGUCAGGGAGAGAACUAACAUGAAGCUGGAGGCAGGUGAAAAGUGACACACAAUCACCUUGGGAAGAUGGAGAUAGUGGCUGUGGUACUUUAUAGGCAGAGGGAGAAGAAAGAGACCACCUGCUGAUAGAGAAAAAAGACAGAAGAAUAAAUUCAGUUUACCAGUGUAAUUUGAGAGUGAGGGAGUGUGCAUGUCAAACAAGGUAAGGUGGCUGAGUGGUAAGAGUACUUGAUUAUAAACCUGAAUAUCAUGGGCUUGAGGCUUGGGUCAUCUCUAGUUCACCCAGCUGCAAAAUAGGUACCUGAUAUAUUGUGUUAAGGCAGUGAAAGGUGGUCAGAUGUGAUGCUAGCCACAUUACUCCCUUAUGUACCAUUGGCUAUGAAACUGAUGUGCCUUAGUCAUGUCAGCCUGAUAAGACAUUGGUUUGGAAGAACUUUGACAAUAAAUAUGCAGGAUGGCAAAUUAAAGUCAAGUCAGAACAAAGCAGAAUAAUUUAAAAUCAUUGCUUCAACUUUGAUUUGAUCUCAAACUCUCCACAGAUUUUGUAUUUUAACUGUGCCAUUUUCUAUAUCUCCUGAGUUGGAGGAUUCUGCCUCAUUUCACUUUGACAGGAUUCCACAUUGAGAGAGGAUAAACAUGACAGCCAUUACUGUUCUGCUCUUUGAAACAUAGGCAACAGUUUCCAGUUAGACAAGAAAAAGUUCUUAGAAAACUCUUGUAUUCUGUUCAAUAUUUUCUCCUCCUAAAAGACAGACUUAACAACAACAAAAAAGAAUCCAUGUGUGAGAGUGUACUGUCAACUCCUGUUAUGUUUACUUUCUUGUAAGAGUAGACAACUGCCCCAUGCAGAGUUUUGUUUCUACAUGUUGUUAUCUUGUUUACUUCUU